rnacentral:lncRNA from 1 species
GGGGGAUUCAAAAAAUAUACGAAAAUCAAUCAAAAACGAAAAUUUCAAAAGGUUAUCUUUUGCUCUUAGUUUGGUUUCAAUUUCUGUUUUCAUAUUUUUUUUCUUUUUAUUAUUACAAUCGGAAAUCAAAAAGAAAAAGGGAGGGAAUACCCUUACCGUUGAUUUUUUUUCCGGCCGCCAUCGUUGGUGUCGCACAACGGAGCAGCUGCAAGGAUGGGCUAACUCUUUUGCCCUAGCAAAGAAAGAUUGAAAACCUAUUUUGCUUCUUUUGAUUUCAGCGCAAGCUAGGCUUUGAAAACCUAGCAGAGGAAAAGAAGAAAAAAUAGGGAGGUGGGCUCUGUAAAUUUUUUAAAAAAGAAAAAGG